GGACAGCUUCCCCACAGUGGGCCCACUGCCCCUUCCCUCAGCACCCAGCUCAGGCGUCCGUCCUCCAGGAAGCCAUGACACCGUGACAGGCCAGCCUCACAACGCCAGCAGAGGGUUUGAAGAAACGGAGCCUCGGACCGGGGCCACUGGCUCAGGUCUGCCUUGGGGGAGAAGGUGCCGAUCACAGGCCGAGAGUGGUUCUCAUGGUGUCCCAGAACUGCUCAGUACAGACACACGCAUCAGCCUGAAGGUUCACACAGGGUUGGCGUGCGUGAAGGAUACAAAAUUCCCGGGAAAAGCCUACAGCUGGAGUGAAGUGUGCCACGUUCCUGCUACUUCUCCAGCUGUGCUGGGGGACAUCAGGCUGAGGACCAGCGGUGUGGGCAUCCUGCUCCACAGGCUGGGUUCCCAUGCCGGCCUCCGGUGCAGGACCUGUCAUCUCCCUCAGCGUCCGUUUCCUCAUCUGUACGAUGGAGCCCGUGAAGCUAGCCUGCACUGUUGGCAGAGCUGGAGAAUGUGGACGCCUGACUCCCAGCACAGUGCCGGUGGCCGUGGGAAUGGUGACGCCGACGCAGCAACGCGGGCACUGGACACUCUCGGAGGACCACUUGCCAGGCGGCUGAGCGGGUCAGGCCAGGCAUCAUGGGCAGAACAGGGGCCACAUACUCCCUGUGCUUAAAGGUCACGGUCAAGACACACCUCUUCCACGAAGCCCUCCUGAGUUCUCCCAGCCCUCACUGUGGGUCCUCCUUCAGGCUUCUAGCCCCAUGUCAUCUCUUCCACCCUCUUCAGCUCCGAAGUAUUGCAGAGGGUAUUUGUUGUUGGGGUGGGGAGGGGACCGCCCAGCAUAUUUACCCCCCUCCCUAUUUGUGAGUAAGGCCCCUUCAUGUGAGUAUUGGCAGGAGAUAAGCCACCUACUGGGGAAGCUGAACGGGCAGAUGUUCCCUCACCCAGUACCUGAGCAAAGGGACCCAGGCUUGGCCAAAGGGACCCUCCCAUCCAGGACUCAGAAUCUCAAGUGGUGACGUCACGCACAGGAAGAGUCGGACUCCCUUCGCCAUGGCAGCGUGCGCCAGCGGCAGCAGCAGUCCAGGGCCCAGCCCCCGGGGUGGACUCUGCCCAGAGGACUGGUGGCCUUUCUCGGCUCCGGACCACUUCCUGAGCCUUGUUCCCCACCUUCCUGUUGAUUCUGAGUUUCUGGGCAGCCGGAGUUGAGUUUCUGUUGUUUGCCCUCAACACUCACAUUUGUCUUUGCUGAUACCAACUGGUCCAGGUGAGCAAAUAAUCUUCCCCAGCUGGCCUACACCCACGGGGGAGAGAAAUGCUGCCUUGCACGCUGGCCUGUCUCCCGCCAGAUGCCUCGUCAUCCCGUGUGGGGGAUGCUCUGAUUGUCACGCAGACCUGGGACAGGAUCCAGCUUCUGCCACUUGCGGAAUCUGGGGCUCCGAGGAGUUGUUCAGUCACCACGAGCCUUGGUCUUCUCAUCCGUAAACGGCCAUAAAGACGCCUACUUCCUAGGGCCCGGGGGUCGGCUUGAGUAUCAUGACGGAGGCGGAGAAUGGGACUUAGGCUGCUCACGAACCAGCUCCUCCAGCUGGGACUGGUCUGGGAAUGGGGACAGGAGACGGGACAGGGUGAGGCUCUGGGAUGGGGGUGGGAGCCGAACUCUGAGAGCCGUGGUGGGCAGAGGCAGGGCACCUGCUAAUUAAUUCGGUUUUUCUCUUUGUUAGAUUUUCACUUUACCAUCUUUGUUACUUAAGCAUUAUUUCUUGGUUGAAAUUCCCAAAGGUUUAUAUUUCCUUUCCCCCAAAUAAAACGUGAG
rnacentral:lncRNA from 1 species